CCUACGGGAGGCAGCAGUGAGGAAUAUUGGUCAAUGGCCGUAAGGCUGAACCAGCCAAGUAGCGUGAGGGAAGACUGCCCUAUGGGUUGUAAACCUCUUUUAUGCGGGGAUAAAGGUGUCCACGUGUGGAUGUUUGCAGGUACCGCAUGAAUAAGGACCGGCUAAUUCCGUGCCAGCAGCCGCGGUAAUACGGAGGGUCCGGGCGUUAUCCGGAUUUAUUGGGUUUAAAGGUGGCGUAGGCCGGUCUUUAAGCGUGCCGGGAAAUUUUGUGGGUGAACCAUGAGAGUGCGGCGCGAACUGGAGACCUUGAGUGCGCGGGAGGCAGGCGGAAUUCGUGGUGUAGCGGUGAAAUGCUUAGAUAUCACGAAGAACCCCGAUUGCGAAGGCAGCCUGCCGCAGCGUUACUGACGCUGAAGCUCGAAAGCGCGGGUAGCGAACAGGAUUAGAUACCCGAGUAGUC
rnacentral:rRNA from 1 species